rnacentral:rRNA from 1 species
GUACACUCCUGCGGGAGGCAGCAGUGGGGAAUUUUGGACAAUGGGGGCAACCCUGAUCCAGCAAUGCCGCGUGAGUGAAGAAGGCCUUCGGGUUGUAAAGCUCUUUUGUCAGGGAAGAAACGGUGGUGGCGAAUAACUACUACUAAUGACGGUACCUGAAGAAUAAGCACCGGCUAACUACGUGCCAGCAGCCGCGGUAAUACGUAGGGUGCAAGCGUUAAUCGGAAUUACUGGGCGUAAAGCGUGCGCAGGCGGUUGUGUAAGUCAGAUGUGAAAUCCCCGGGCUCAACCUGGGAAUUGCAUUUGAGACUGCACGGCUAGAGUGUGUCAGAGGGGGGUAGAAUUCCACGUGUAGCAGUGAAAUGCGUAGAUAUGUGGAGGAAUACCGAUGGCGAAGGCAGCCCCCUGGGAUAACACUGACGCUCAUGCACGAAAGCGUGGGGAGCAAACAGGAUUAGAUACCCCAGUAGUCCCAUGAU